GUGAUGUACACACAGAUUUCCAUUGUGAAGAAAAGCUGUGUGAUUCCAAAAGGCUGUGCCUUUCAGGAAAUUAACAUUUUUUUCAGGAUUGAGAUUAAACUGCAGCAUUUGGGGGAAGAGAGGAGGAAUCUUACCAGAAAAGCACUUUGCUACAGAUGAGUAUAUUUUCCAGAACUCAUACAUGAAGACAGAAGACUUGUUUUAGGAACAUUAUUACUGCUACAAUGAAGCGUUACAUAUGAUAGCUUUAAAAGAACAGAAGGCUCCCAUUCAGAUACCUACUGAAGCGGUACUGUGCCUGUACAAUUGGACUGCUCAAACUACUUCACCAAUAUCUGAGACUUCCCAGCGGAAACAUUUUGUAUCCCUGCUGAAUCAACAGGUGACUUCAGAGAAGAAUCCAAAGUGUGAGACAUUUUGAUUCAUGAUUACCCUGAAGAAGGAAUAUCAUAUGCUGAGAUGACAGAAAGUUAUGAAGAUUUGAUAAAAUAAUUUCUGUGUCAUCACUGUCUUGAUUCCAUACAAUUAAGGGCUUAUUCAUGUCAUGCUCAGAGUGGAUAAUGACAGGUUAAUGUUACACAACUUUCUAUUUGAAAGACUUUUUAGAUGUUUAUUAUACUUUCCUCAGAUUUACAGCUUAUAACUGAAGAUUCCCAUCCAAAUCUGGUGUGGUUUUUUUUCUCUCCAGAUGUAUUGCUGGUAUCCUUCUUCAUCAUUGUUUUUGCACACCGCUUACGCUUAGCGACUUAAAUGCAGACAUGAAAAUGAAAAUUAAGGAGUGCAAUGCUAAA